CAAGUCUUGACAUCCCGGUGACCGGCGCGUAAUGGCGUCUUCUCUUCGGAGCACUGGAGACAGGUGGUGCAUGGUUGUCGUCAGCUCGUGUCGUGAGAUGUUGGGUUAAGUCCCGCAACGAGCGCAACCCUUAUCUUUAGUAGCCAGCGAGUAAAGUCGGGCACUCUAGAGAGACUGCCAGGGACAACCUGGAGGAAGGUGGGGAUGACGUCAAAUCAUCAUGCCCCUUAUGAUUUGGGCUACACACGUGCUACAAUGGCGUAAACAAAGGGAAGCGAGACAGUGAUGUUAAGCAAAUCUCAAAAAUAACGUCUCAGUUCGGAUUGUAGUCUGCAACUCGACUACAUGAAGCUGGAAUCGCUAGUAAUCGCGAAUCAGCAUGUCGCGGUGAAUACGUUCCC
rnacentral:rRNA from 1 species